UACGGAGGGAGCUAGCGUUGUUCGGAAUUACUGGGCGUAAAGCGUGCGCAGGCGGUGAUGUAAGACAGUUGUGAAAUCCCCGGGCUCAACCUGGGAACUGCAUCUGUGACUGCAUCGCUGAAGUGCGGCAGAGGGGGAUGGAAUUCCGCGUGUAGCAGUGAAAUGCGUAGAUAUGCGGAGGAACACCGAUGGCGAAGGCAAUCCCCCUGGGCCUGCACUGACGCUCAUGCACGAAAGCGUGGGGAGCAAACAGGAUUAGAAACCCC
rnacentral:rRNA from 1 species